AUUGAACGCUGGCGGCAGGCUUAACACAUGCAAGUCGAGCGGAGAUGAGGUGCUUGCACCUUAUCUUAGCGGCGGACGGGUGAGUAAUGCUUAGGAAUCUGCCAUUUAGUGGGGGACAACAUUCCGAAAGGAAUGCUAAUACCGCAUACGUCCUACGGGAGAAAGCAGGGGAUCUUCGGACCUUGCGCUAAAUGAUGAGCCUAAGUCGGAUUAGCUAGUUGGUGGGGUAAAGGCCUACCAAGGCGACGAUCUGUAGCGGGUCUGAGCGGAUGAUCCGCCACGCUGGGACUGAGACACGGCCCGGACUCCUACGGGAGGCAGCAGUGGGGAAUAUUGGACAAUGGGCGGAAUCCUGAUCCAGCCAUGCCGCGUGUGUGAAGAAGGCCUUUUGGUUGUAAAGCACUUUAAGCGAGGAGGAGGCUACUAGUACUAAUACUACUGGAUAGUGGACGUUACUCGCAGAAUAAGCACCGGCUAACUCUGUGCCAGCAGCCGCAGUAACAC
rnacentral:rRNA from 1 species